GUACCUAGAAAUGGAUUCCUUGAGGACCUGCUCCAUGAUUUUUCCAGGAAGCGAGAGCAAAGAUCCCUGAGACCUGUUCCUUGCUCCUUGCCCUGCAAGCCAAAUGCGAGCAUUUUCGAACAAGACUCAGAAGCCGCCUAACGUGGACAAGAGAGCUCAGAGCAGGUAUUGGCCAUUUCCCCCGCAAAAGGCCGGAUGAGGAGAAUGGCCCCUCCUCUGCUGCUGCUUCAAUGGCCACGGGACCUUCUGGCACCAUCGACCUCCUGCCUGGCACUGCCGUGUGCCCAGGCUGCCCUGCCUGCAGUUCCUGGCAUGACGGGGCUGAGCAGCUGCUCCUGCUGCCCAGCUCCAAGGCAAGGCGGGGAAACUCGCCUCUCCCUGCAGAGACUAACUGUGACAUCCUGGACUUGCCUGGAAGGGCUGGCAGCCACCAGGGACAUGCAUGAUGGCUGAUCACAGGCCAGCAGCACCAGGCACAGCUUCAUUGCUAUUAGCUCUGCUCCUUCCUCCUGCUGGGAUCUUAUAACCACAAGGACUCGCAUUGCCAGGGACUGCCAGACCCGAGGCCCCUGAGGCCGUGUGUGUACAGCAGGGGUGCACAAAAUACAGCCCAUAGGCCUGAUGUGGCCCACUAAGCACUUUCAUCUGGCCCAUGGGGCAAUGGGCUCCAGCCUGCAGGUCUUCCCUCCUGUGCUGUGCACCCCCGGCAGGAAACGCAGCCAGCUCCAGCACAUGGGGAUUUCCUUCUGUGCUGUGUGUGAGUGGCAGGGAGUGCCAGCGAUACAGACACCCUGGGCGUGGGCAACUGGUGCCUCCCAAGUCUGGGGGGGUUCCAGCAGGGCAUGACUGGGGGGAGAGGGGGGUCUCUCAGCAGCCAGCUAGUGACUGGGGAGGGGGGUUGUCCCCCAACGGCCAGUCGCUGAGCGUGCCAGCAGCACGGCGGCAGCAUAAGUGCCGGCAAUUCCACAUGUGGCAUGUGCCACUGGUGCAGCCAAUUCAGGGCGGGCACUAGCACUCUCCAUGCCCCCCUGUGGCAGAAUACCAUCUCUGUCUCUCCCCAAACUCUGCUAUCUGACAAUUUGGUUACCAUGGUCAUUGCAGAGGGCAGACUCCUCUGGUCCCAUCUGCUUCAUAGAUUCAUAGA